rnacentral:snRNA from 1 species
AGAUGUGAAGGCGAUCUGGUGUGACAUUUGUCACCCUAUUGGGUGCCAUGGUUGGUUGAGCUGAUCUGGCUGGCAAGGCAGAGUCCCCUUCCCCAGUGCUCCAUGUGCAUCCCUCCCGAAGCUGCAAGGGGACAGCCACCCCCGACGGAGAAGGACGGAGGAGGACCCCUCCUUGGUUGGGGUAUAGGAGUAGCUAUGCUCCCCUGCUGGACCUCCAGACAGGCUCUCAAAAUAGGAAAAGGGCUGGAGGGUAGCUCAGCUCAAAGGCCCUGGAUUCAAUUCCAAUUACGGCAAAGGAAAAGAACUAUUUGCUUUUUUU